AGCGAACGCUGGCGGCAGGCUUAACACAUGCAAGUCGAGCGGGCACUUUCGGGUGUCAGCGGCGGACGGGUGAGUAACGCGUGGGAACGUGCCCUCUGGUUCGGAAUAACUCAGGGAAACUUGAGCUAAUACCGGAUACGCCCUUUUGGGGAAAGGCUUGCUGCCGGAGGAUCGGCCCGCGUCUGAUUAGCUAGUUGGUGAGGUAACGGCUCACCAAGGCGACGAUCAGUAGCUGGUCUGAGAAGAUGAUCAGCCACACUGGGACUGAGACACGGCCCAGACUCCUACGGGAGGCAGCAGUGGGGAAUAUUGGACAAUGGGCGCAAGCCUGAUCCAGCCAUGCCGCGUGAGUGAUGAAGGUCUUAGGGUUGUAAAGCUCUUUUAUCCGGGACGAUAAUGACGGUACCGGAGGAAUAAGCCCCGGCUAACUUCGUG
rnacentral:rRNA from 1 species